rnacentral:pre_miRNA from 11 species
UGCUAUGUAAAAUGAAAGACCCCCAGGGAGGGGAGACCCUUACUCAAGUCUCAGGAUGAUGCCACCCCCCAAGAACUCACUAGAGACC